AAUAUGAACAAUAAGAAGUAGAUGAUAUUCAAUCCACAAAGCUUAUAUAAAUAUUUACAGAAACAUUUCUUAAGAAAUAAAGUUUCUGGUUCAUUAAAACUCAUUAAAACAAUUAUCAUUAAAACAAUUCCAUGUAAUCUGCGU